CAGAAUCUGAAUCAAAAUAGAACUCAAGAGUUCUCUUGAGAAAAGUUUCUUUACUUUCAAAAAUUUCUUGUUUCCAAAUUUAAGUUUUCAAAAUUUCAAAAUUUUACUUCCAUCCACUUCCAUUCAAUCCUUAGAUCCUUAGGACUCGUUUGGUAUCAAAGCCAAGAAGGAAUAGGUAAAUCUAAGUUUUGAAAAUCUUCAAAUUUGUUUUCAAUAUUUCUGAGUUUUGGUUUAACUAUCUUUAUUAAUUUCCUAUGAUUUUUUUUAGUAUUGAUACACAGUUUUGUAAUAGUCUGUUUUUCAGUAGUGUCGAAAAUGGUGAUUUUGGGACCACGAAUUUGACAAGUGAGCUUGUAAAUAUUAUUAAUUUAAUAUUUAUGAGUCAAUUAUAAUAUUAUUGAAAUUUUGAUUUAAUAAAUUUCGUUAAUUGAUCGUGUAGUUAAGUGGUUCAUUCCUUAAUUCAAGUGGUUUUGGAAAAUGAAGUAUUGAGACCUCCUUUCUAUAAACCGAACCCGUAAAUAUUUUUAUUAAAUAUUUACAGAGUUAUUAUAUAGGUAUGUGAAUAUUCGGUUAGGAAAUUUUUAUUUUAAUUAGUUAAUUAAUUAAAAAGGACUAAAUCGUAAAAGUCAAAAAAUCUAAUCACUAUUGAAUUUUAAUGGUUAAAUAGCUUAACUAGUGGAUGUGUGAGGACUUAUGAAAUAAUUAUACUAUGUUUUCAUAUUAGUGGACGGUUAAGACAUUUAUUUAUGGAUUAUAUAUGUUAUAUUAUAAGUUAAAUAAUAAUAAAGUAAAUAAAAUAAGUAAAGUUAAAAAAAGAAAAGAAAAAGAAAACAUAAAGAAUUAGUGUCAUAUUCUUCUUCUUUUAAUUUGAACAUCGAACCAUCAUGGGAGAACUUGGGAAGCUUCGGCUUUGAUAUUUCCAUUGCAUGUAAGUGAGUUUUUCACUCGUUUUUCGUAAAUUUUAUAUUUUUGAGACCGUUGCAGCUAGGUACAGCUAACAUGUAUCUCUAUUUUUAAAAUUGUUAAAGAUUUUGGAUUUUACCAGUAAUUAAUUUUAGUUGUGUUGAGAAUUUAAUUGAUGUAUUCUUGAGUUUUACAGCUAGAUAUAAGUAUUUUGUUAAGUGAUUUUUAGUAAUUUUAAUGUUUAGGGAUUAAAUUUUUUAAAUAGUAAAAUUCAAUGAAAAUAGUGUGAAAUGAUAAGAAAUAUGGGCUGUAAUGGACCCCUAGGAAAAUUGGCUAGCAUAGUUUUUCAUUAAGUGUGGUUAAUUUGUGUGUUUUGGGUUUAGGGACUAAAUUGCAUAAAAGGUAAAAAUUUAGGGUAAAAGUGUGAAAUGAUGAUUAAGGGUAAAAUUUAUGAAUUUGAGUAUUUUAUGAUAUUUGAAUUGGUUAAUUGAAUAAAUUUAUUAUAUUUAGAUCAAGAAAUGAGCUAACCUGGCAUUAAUUGUGGGAAAGGAAAGUUAAAGGAGAAAUCGUCGGUGUUGUGUUUGUAACUAUUUUCAAUUAGGUAAGUUUGUAAAUUGAUUAAAUUAAUUAUUUGUUAUUUUUUUGACUUAAUAAAUAUAUUUAUGUUGUUACUCAAUUUAACUACUUGAGAUUGAUAUGUGAUGAGUUGGACUAAGUUAUGAUGAUAUUUAAGUUGAGUACUGUGUUUGGAAAAUGUGAAAUACACGGAUGUGAGUUUGAAAUGGUAUAAUGGAAACGAAGUUAAAUGACUAGGAUAUAAAAUGUGUCACAUUUGAACCUUGUGAGUACUUAGGAUACAAAUGACAUGUCAUUAGGAGGUUAUUUCCAGUUUCGGGUGCUGGUCUUGGAUGUCCUACCGAUGGCUGAGGUAUUGUACUUGUUGUGGAUUCUCCACAAUUCGUGUGAGCAGCAUCGUGUAGCUUAAUAUCAUGACCCAUAGCUUGUGUGAGCAGACCCAUUUCACAGAUCAUAUGAGCAUACAGUAUUACAUGUUACAGUCACAGCUUGCGUGAGCAUCCCGAGUAUCCGAUGUUAUUUCAUUUGGUUCAACAGGUAGUAAAAUUUUAAAUGAAUAUGUACAUAUAUAAAAUGUUAUAUGGUCAAGACAUGUGAAUUGGAAGAUGCUGAUAUAAAUACUUGGAAUGGGAAGCUAUGUUUAUCGAACACAUGAUGGAUGUAAUAUGUACUGGUUAUGUUAUUAUUACAUGUUCCAUUAUUGUUGGAAUUAUAUGCUUCUUUGUGAUACCUAUUAACCUUGUAAGGUUGUGUUGUAUAGAAAAGAAAUGUAAGUAUAAGAUUUAAUGAAUGAAUAUGUGUUAUAUGCUAAAUAAAUAUGUGAUGGUUGGUUAUGUACCAAAUAAGUUUUUUGGUAUAUGUUUGAUGGCAUGAUAAAGUUACAUGUUUUAUAUAUGAACUCACUAAUCUUGUGAGACUUGUGAUGUGUCUAGGAAAUUAACAAACUCAUGACCAGGACAUAGAGUUAUCUUGUAAAAUGUUUUAUUACAUCGCUUUUGAUUGUUGGAGUUGAGCUAUCAAUUGGAUUACUUUUGGAGAUCAUGCUAUUUGUUCAAUGAUUCAGUAUAAGAUGUGAUUAUUUUUUAUUUAGUUUAUAAGUGGCAUGUUCUAGGAGUAUAUAAGUUUUUUUGCUAUAAUGAUGUAACCUUAGUUUAAGUAUAUAUGUAUAUAUAUAUUUGAUUUAGCUUGUAUAUGUCCAUAUUUGUAUAUCUUUAGUUGUUGUGUAUAUGCUUCUUGGAUGUGUUUGAAAUAUGGUAAGAUUGAAUAUGAAUGGAAUGGUUGAAUUGGUACAAAUGUUUAGGUAA